GAUGAACGCUAGCGACAGGCUUAACACAUGCAAGUCGAGGGGCAUCAUGAGGUAGCAAUACCUUGAUGGCGACCGGCGCACGGGUGAGUAACGCGUAUGCAACCUGCCCGAUACCGGGGUAUAGCCCAUGGAAACGUGGAUUAACACCCCAUAGUACUUUUAUCCUGCCUGGGAUGGGAGUUAAAUGUUCAAGGUAUCGGAUGGGCAUGCGUCCUAUUAGUUAGUUGGCGGGGUAACAGCCCACCAAGACGAUGAUAGGUAGGGGUUCUGAGAGGAAGGUCCCCCACAUUGGAACUGAGACACGGUCCAAACUCCUACGGGAGGCAGCAGUGAGGAAUAUUGGUCAAUGGACGAAAGUCUGAACCAGCCAAGUCGCGUGAGGGAAGACUGCCCUAUGGGUUGUAAACCUCUUUUAUAAGGGAAGAAUAAGUUCUACGUGUAGAAUGAUGCCUGUACCUUAUGAAUAAGCAUCGGCUAACUCCGUGCCAGCAGCCGCGGUAA
rnacentral:rRNA from 1 species